rnacentral:rRNA from 1 species
AUUGAACGCUGGCGGCAUGCCUUACACAUGCAAGUCGAACGGUAACGCGGGGGCAACCCUGGCGACGAGUGGCGAACGGGUGAGUAAAGCAUCGGAACGUGCCCAAUAGUGGGGGAUAGCCCGGCGAAAGCCGGAUUAAUACCGCAUACGACCUGAGGGUGAAAGCGGGGGAUCGCAAGACCUCGCGCUAUUGGAGCGGCCGAUGUCAGAUUAGGUAGUUGGUGGGGUAAAGGCCUACCAAGCCUGCGAUCUGCAGCUGGUCUGAGAGGACGACCAGCCACACUGGGACUGAGACACGGCCCAGACUCCUACGGGAGGCAGCAGUGGGGAAUUUUGGACAAUGGGGGCAACCCUGAUCCAGCCAUGCCGCGUGCGGGAAGAAGGCCUUCGGGUUGUAAACCGCUUUUGUUCGGGAAGAAAUCCUUUGGGUUAAUACCUCGAAGGGAUGACGGUACCGGAAGAAUAGGCACCGGCUAACUACGUGCCAGCCGCCGCCGUAACAC